AAUGGAUAGGACAAAGGAUCGUGAUCUGCGAGGGUGAGCUAAUUCCAAAAACUCAUCCUUAGUUCGAAUUGUAGACUACAACUCGCCUACAUGAAG
rnacentral:ncRNA from 1 species